AAGCAUGACAGUCGGAUUCUUGCAGAUUUCGAAGUUGCUGUGAUGUUUCGAAGAUCUGGAAAUAUUUAACCAUUAGUUCAUUCUGAAUUUUUGAUAUGUUAUGAAAAGAGACGAUGAGGAACAACUUCAAUGAAGAAAGCAUGCUGAUCUGAACAAUCGAAAAUGGAGUUUCGAAGCUCACAACAAAUCUGACGGGUUGACAGAAAAAUAAUAACCAGUCAUUCAUCAUACCUGAAUUUCUUGAGUUAUACUGCUCCGAGGGAUCUCAAAUUUGGAUAUGUUGUAGUUCACAAGCUGAGGAACAACUUCAAUGAAGAAAGCAUGCUGAUCUGAGCAAGAGAAAAUAGAGUUUCAAAGCUCACAACAAAUCUGACGGGUUGACAGACAAAUGAUAAACAGUCACUCAUCAUACCUGGAUUUCUGGAGUUGUACUGAUCUGAUGGCUCUCAAAUUUGGAUAUGUUGUAGUUCACAAGCUGAGGAACAACUUCAAUGAAGAAAGCAUGCUGAUCUAAGCAAGAGAAAAUAGAGUUUCAAAGCUCACAACAAAUCUGACGGGUUGACAGACAAAUGAUAAACAGUCACUCAUCAUACCUGGAUUUCUGGAGUUGUACUGAUCUGAUGGCUCUCAAAUUUGGAUAUGUUGUAGUUAAGGAAUUAAAGAACAACUUUCAUGAAGACAACUUUGUGAUUCGAGCUACAGAUGAUGGUCUUAUAUUGAAAACCAAUUCAGGGUGUUAAGGGAAAUGAAAAACAAUUCCACCAAAGAAACAUCAUUAUGAUGUUUCAUCAUUAUGGUGUUUUCAUCAU
rnacentral:lncRNA from 1 species